GGGUUGUGAGGUUAAGCGACUAAGCGUACACGGUGGAUGCCCUGGCAGUCAGAGGCGAUGAAGGACGUGCUAAUCUGCGUAAAGCGUCGGUAAGGUGAUAUGAACCGCUACAGCCGACGAUGUCCGAAUGGGGAAACCCGGUGCACUCUGUGCAUCAUCGCAACAUGAAUACAUAGUGUUGCGAGGCGAACCUGGGGAACUGAAACAUCUAAGUACCCAGAGGAAAAGAAAUCAACCGAGAUUCCCCCAGUAGCGGCGAGCGAACGGGGAGCAGCCCAGAACCUGAAUCAGUUUGUGCAUUAGUGGAAGCGUCUGGAAAGUCGCAGGGUACAGGGUGAUACUCCCGUACACAAAAAUGCAUUUACUGUGAGUUCGAAGAGUAGGGCGGGACACGUGGUAUCCUGUCUGAAUAUGGGGGGACCAUCCUCCAAGGCUAAAUACUCCUGACUGACCGAUAGUGAACCAGUACCGUGAGGGAAAGGCGAAAAGAACCCCGGCGAGGGGAGUGAAACAGAACCUGAAACCGUGUACGUACAAGCAGUGGGAGCCUGAUUUGUCAGGUGACUGCGUACCUUUUGUAUAAUGGGUCAGCGACUUAUAUUCUGUAGCAAGGUUAACCGUAUAGGGGAGCCGCAGGGAAACCGAGUCUUAACUGGGCGUUAAGUUGCAGGGUAUAGACCCGAAACCCGGUGAUCUAGCCAUGGGCAGGUUGAAGGUUGGGUAACACUAACUGGAGGACCGAACCGACUAAUGUUGAAAAAUUAGCGGAUGACUUGUGGCUGGGGGUGAAAGGCCAAUCAAACCGGGAGAUAGCUGGUUCUCCCCGAAAGCUAUUUAGGUAGCGCCUCGUGAACUCAUCUUCGGGGGUAGAGCACUGUUUCGGCUAGGGGGCCAUCCCGGCUUACCAACCCGAUGCAAACUGCGAAUACCGGAGAAUGUUAUCACGGGAGACACACGGCGGGUGCUAACGUCCGUCGUGAAGAGGGAAACAACCCAGACCGCCAGCUAAGGUCCCAAAGUCAUGGUUAAGUGGGAAACGAUGUGGGAAGGCACAGACAGCCAGGAUGUUGGCUUAGAAGCAGCCAUCAUUUAAAGAAAGCGUAAUAGCUCACUGGUCGAGUCGGCCUGCGCGGAAGAUGUAACGGGGCUAAACCAUGCACCGAAGCUGCGGCAGCGAC
rnacentral:rRNA from 1 species